UACGGGGGGGGGCAAGCGUUGUUCGGAAUUACUGGGCGUAAAGGGCUCGUAGGCGGCCAACUAAGUCAGACGUGAAAUCCCUCGGCUUAACCGGGGGACUGCGUCUGAUACUGGAUGGCUUGAGGUUGGGAGAGGGAUGCGGAAUUCCAGGUGUAGCGGUGAAAUGCGUAGAUAUCUGGAGGAAUACCGGUGGCGAAGGCGGCAUCCUGGACCGACAUUGACGCUGAUGAGCGAAAGCUAGGGGAGCAAACGGG
rnacentral:rRNA from 1 species